UACGUAGGGACCAAGCGUUGUUCGGAAUCACUGGGCGUAAAGGGUGCGUAGGCGGCGCGGAAAGUCAGGGGUGAAAUCCCGGAGCUCAACUCCGGAACUGCCUUUGAUACUCCCGCGCUUGAGAACUGGAGGGGAGACCGGAAUUCACGGUGGAGCAGUGAAAUGCGUGGAUAUCGUGAGGAACACUAGUGGCGAAGGCGGGUCUCUGGACAGUAUCUGACGCUGAGGCACGAAGGCCAGGGGAGCGAACGGG
rnacentral:rRNA from 1 species